GCUCCACGCCAUUCUUGAAGCUUCCAUGCCAUUUUCUCUUUAUCCACCAUGAAAUCAAGUUUUCUUCACUUUCUUUUCCUUUCUUCUCCAAACUUCUUGAGCACUAAAUUUACAGCCUUUAACUCCAAUUUCCAGCACGUCUAAACCCUAGGAGGAGAAGAAAGAAAAAGAGAAAAAGGAAGAAAAAAGCUUGGUUUUGGUGAUUCAAGCAAGGAACGGUAAGAAUUAUUGUUUUUGGUUUGAGUAGUCUUUGAAAAUGAGUUAGUGACUUAGAGAAAUGUCUUGUGGCAGCAAAGAUUGGCUUGAUUGGAGAAAAAUUGAUAACAUGUAAGCCAAUAAACCCAUGGGUACAUGAAGGUCUCAAAGUGGAAAAGGAAAACUGUAAGCUUAAUACUAUGUUUUAAAGCCUACGGUUAGUUGAAUAUUGUGAGGAAUUAUGGUUGUUGAAAGGAUUUAUUUACCUAAGCUAGUUGAAAAUUAUUAAGAUUGUAUGGCAUGUUGUUUGAAAGAAAUGAAAGAGGAAUAUUGUGGAUGGAGAAUUGAGAAACAAAGUAUUGAAAGUUAGAUAGAUAACGAUGCAUGUAAACUAGGAAAUAAUUGAGUGAAAGUGAGAAUGAUUGUUGCUGCUAUAUAUGUGGAUUAUGUGUGGAAAUAUAAGAUGGAUUUGGGAAGAAAUUAUUUAAAAAGGUUAAAGUAGGCAUGUGACAUCAUAAAUAAGUUAUCGGUGAUAUAAUCUAAGAAAUUUCGUAAGCAAUGGAUAUAAGUUAUUUUGGUAAAAAUCUAUUAAGAUGUGAGUUAAUUGAAGAUGAUUUCAUGAUAGGAUGAAAAAUAUAAAUUUGAGUAAGGAUUAAUUGAUUGAAGUGCUACCCGUAUACAGAUGUAAUUAAAUAUAUUGAGUUCAUAUUAUUGCUAGGAAGUGCAAAGAUAAGGUUAAGAACUGUGGUGGCGUGCCAGAGUAAAUAACGAGGGACCGACCAAUGAAAAUAAUUAGAGACACCUCUGAACAAAUAGCGACUUAAUAUAUCGUUGUUUCCAGGUGAGUGAACUUGCAUUAAAAUCUUUUGGAAUAAAUGAUUAUAUGCUUGAUUGAGCCACUUGAAAUAUUUUGUUGGUUUUUCUUUAAAAAUUGCAUGGGAACAAGCCCUUGAUAAAAUGUUUUGAUAUUAUGAGAUAUGAACAUGAUGAAUUCAUGAGUUUCUACAUUAUGUUGAUGUGUAUAUUAUACAUUAAAUGAUACUUUUGUGUGAUAAUUAUGACCCAGCCAUGUGCGGUGUAGGAGUGCACAUGAGCUGUGCUAACCCGGCCAUGUGCGAUGUAGGAGUGCACAUGAGCUGUGCUUACUUGGCCAUGUGUGGUGUAUGAGUACACAUGAGCUGUGCUGACUCGGCCAUGUGCGUGGUGUAUGAGUGCACAUGUGUUGUGCUGACUCGGCCAUGUGCAGUGUAGUGGUGCACAUGAGCUGUGCUGACCCAGCCAUGUGCGGUGUAAGAGUGCAUAUGAGCUGUGCUGACCCAGCUAUGUGCGGUGUGGUAAUGCACAUAAGCUGAGACAGAGUUGGGGGUGAGGCCGGUGGUCAUAUGUAUGUUUAUAUAUGUUAUAUAUGUUAUAUAUAUAAAGGUUUUGGAAAUUAUAUUGUGGUUGCAUUGAUUUUUGAAUGUUAAAACUUGAGAAAUGGUUUUUGUCACGACUCGGUACUCCCCUCGAGCCCGUGACAACCGUCGCAGUGUCCCGAUAAACACUCAUUACUCGAAAUGCCAACCGGAACCCCGCAAGGCUUUAAUAUCAGUUUCUCAUUUCCCCUAUGAGUAACCAUUGCCAAAUAUCAUGUUCUAAAAGAUUUUAAGCUAUUUUCAACUUAAAACAAUAAAAAAUUGAUUUCUGUCUCAUAGGGGCAUUUUGGUCAUUUUUCCCUGAAAAUUUUGAAAUUAGGUAAAAAUGUAAUACAAGAGUACAAAACACAUAAUUCAGAAUCAAAAAUAAGUUUAAACGUCUAAAACCUUUAUUUAAAAUGAAAUUAUGAUUAUUUAGAUAUAAUAAUAAUAAUAAUAAAAUAUUUAACAAAAUAUUCUAUUUCUUAUAAAACAAUAUUUUUAGAGUUAUACGUAAGUAAUUUUUGUAGCGUAAAAGCAAAAUAAAUUCAUACAUACUGUAAUACAGUAAGCCAGAGUAUUUAAUUUAAUUUACGAUAACAAGGGAGCCCUCGAAUAACCAAAAGUAAGAAAGACUAUGAACUUACAGUUUGGAUGAUGCAAAUCCAAUGAUAGCCCUUGAUGAAAUCAGCUAUCUACAGCCUAUUCUGAGUCUGAAAUGGGUGGAAAGGAGGGUGGUGAGAUUAUAUAAUCCCAGUGAGUAAACAAACAUCAUCCAAAAUAUCUAAAGUCGAGUAAAUGGAGACGAUUAAAAUAUUCCAUCUCAAUAUGUAUUUCAUAACAUAAAUAUUCAUUUCAUAACAUAAAUAUUCAUUUCAUUUAAAUAAUCAAUAUGGCUUAUGAGUAUCUUAAAAGCUUGGCUCUUGCCAAAAUCAUUCUCGGGAAUACCUUGGCUGAGGCAUUUAACCGAGUCUGCCAAGGCUGUUAAAAAGUUUCGUAUACACAUAAACAUAUUUUUAGUUUGAAAAACACAACCAUUCCUUGGCGUUAGCGGAGUUCAUCAUCACGAGGUAGUUCGGCAUGACGUGAACUCUAACCAUACCUCAAGAGAUACCCUACGCGCCUCUCCGACUGAGGUAUGUAUAUAACCGAAUUCCAUGCCCCUCUAAUAGGCUGGUCCACAGAACUCGUCCACUACAACAAGCUAAACCCACCAUACAAUAAAAAUUCAACAGCAUGACAUGACAAUUUUAUCAUUAUCCAGCCUAUCAAGGCAAACAACAAUUUAUAUAUUUUCAACACAAAUACCAAUUCAACCAUUCAUGCCAAUAUUGCCAUAAGCCAAUCAAUUAGAACCAUAAAUUCACAAUACAUCAAAUGGCCUUCAAUUACUCUAUUUUCAAAGCCAUCAUUCAAUUUCAAGACAAUUAAUAACAUAAUUUCAUUUAAACACAUUUUGUUUAUAAAACCUAAAAAUUAACCAUUUAAACUCAUUUUUCAUAAAAUUCACAAAAUUAGAUAAAAAGCACUUUAGAUAAUUAAGAUGAUGUAAGGUUACUCACUAUUUCGGGAGUCGAAUUUUUAGAGUACUCCGACUAUUGAUCCUCGGGUAAUAUUUCUUUGCCCUUAUCGGAGGAUUCACCACCUAAACAUAAUGCAAAAUCAAGCAAUUUACCACAUUGGUGCUAAACCGUUAUAAAGCUAUAUGGAUGAAUGAAAUGGAAUGCAAAUUGUUCAGAUUAUCGUCUAAACAUGGUGUUCUACACAAAUUCAAUUGUGUACCUAAAUAAAACGGUAUUGGCCUAAUUCGAUCUAUCACCCGAUUAAUUGGCCAAUAUGUCCAAUUCAACUCCAAUUAACUCCAUUUUUCUUCGAAUUCUCCAAAUUAUCAAACACAAGUCAAAUAGCAUAAAAUUUAGCAAAAAUUAUCUUCACAUUUUCUUUUGGGAAUUUCGGCCAUGGUGGGUGCAUCAACACUAUGAUUUUUCUUACUCGAUUUUCUCACCGUAAUUCAUCAUUUCCUAACCAAUUCACUUGAAAUAAAAUCAAAUCCACCAUCCACACUCUACAUGGAAAAUUCGGCCAAUGAUGGGCAAUGGAAGAACAUGAAUUUUUCUUACUUGAUUUUCAUGCUACACAUCACUAACUAACUAAAAACACCAAAAUAUCUUAAAAUCUAACCAAAUCAAGCAUCAGAACUCCUCCCCCCAUGUCCGGCCAGCAAGGUUACUCUCAUGCGAACUUGAUUCUCAUCCAUGGAAAAUGAAAAAGAAUGCAUAGGAAUGGUAGAUCACAAGCUAGAAUUGAAAAAUCUUACCUUUUGUCACUUGAUUCUUUGAAUUUUCACACUUUUCCCUUGAAUUUUUUUACCUAGGGUUUGGUUCUUUCUUUUCUUCCUUUGUUCUUGCUUUGGCGUGCCAUAUGAAGAGAAAUGGGUUGAUUUAUGUGUUGAUUCUUAAGCCAAAUAUUUAAUGGAUGAAAAUUUGACGCAUGUCACCAUUCCAUUGGUCCAUGUGUCAUACUUACCUAUUAAGUAAUCUCUCUCCACCACUUAAAUUUUCUCAAUUAUCCAUGAUAAUAUUGGGUAAAAUCCAUGUGCUGGACAAGUGUUGGGUGGUGUAAAAUUAGAAUUUUGCCCUUAGGGUGGCUAAAUGACUAUUUUACCCCUAUGCUUGAAAAAAUGUCAAAAUUAAAAUUUUUCACUUCUCAAACUCAAAUUAUACUCCAAAUGAUCAAUCUUAGUCAAAAAUUCAUCCAACACUCACAUCUUAACCUCGGGUAGCAAAAUAACCAUUUUACCCUUAGAUCAUGAAAAUUUCAAUUUGACUCCAAAUUGGUCCUCGAACUCUGAGCCACGAUUUUAAGUCAUUCUAGGGUUUUAAAAUUCUCAAUUUCAUCAUAAAAUCUCUAUUUGAACUAGUUUGAGGCUUAAUUCAACUUAGUUGCACCAUUAGGUACACUACUGACUUUUGACCAUUUUUCAGGGCUUUCUAAGUAUACAAGCAUUCUGUCAAUCACAUGAAUGACAUGGCUAAUAUUUUAUAAGGUCGGACUUGAUAGCACUACCCCCCUUAAAAUAAAAUUUUGACCUCAAAAUUUCACUGAUCGGAUUCGAAGAAAAGAUAUGGAUAUUGGUUUCUCAUCUGGUGCUCGACUUCCCACGUCAUCUCCUCCAUUCGGGCAUUCUUCCACAAUACUUUCACCAUUGGAAUGCUUUUGUUCCUUAGCACUCGAUCCUUUCGAUCUAGAAUACGUACAAGCUGCACCUCGAACUUCAAAUCUUCAUGCAACUCAAUCGGUGGUGUCUCUAGAAUAUGGGAGGGAUCGGGAACAUACUUUUUCAACAUCGAGACGUGGAAGACAUUAUGAAUCCGAUCUAACUCUGGGGGUAAUUCAAGUCUGUAAGCCACUGGCCCAAUCAUUUCAAUGAUACGAAAGGGUCCAAUGUAUCUCGGAUUGAGCUUUCCCCACUUCGCGAAUCGAAUCAUACCUUUCAUUAUCCAAUAAAUACCACAAAUUAUCACAAUAGUGUAAUUAAAUAAGAUUUAAUACUUAGAAUUUUCAAAUUAUUACCUUUCCAAGGAGAAACCUUAAGAAAAACUUUAUCGUUGACUUCAAACACCAAAUCUUUCCUUCGUUUAUCAGAAUAACUCUUCUGCCUAUCUUGAGCUAUCUUUAAUCGCUCUCGGAUAAUCUUAAUAUUGUCAUUAGUCAAGUCAAUCAAUUCCGCAUUAAACAAUUUCCUCUCACCCACUUCAUCCCAACAGAGCAGAGUUUAGCAUUUUCUUCCAUACAGAGCCUCAUAUGGUGCCAUCCUAAUACUAGAUUGAAAACUGUUAUUAUACGCGAACUUCACUAAUGGCAAGUGUCUGUCCCAACUCCUAAUAAAGUCAAUGACACAAGCCCGUAACAUAUCCUCCAAGCUCUGAAUAGUCUUUUCAGAUUGACUAUCAGUGUGCAGAUGAAAGGUAGUACUAAAUCUCAAUUUAGUUUCGAGAGCUUCUUAAAAUUUCAGCCAAAAUUGAGAAGUAAACCGAGGGUCUUGAUCUGACACAAUAGAAACUAGAACUUCGUGUAAUCUCACAAUCUCAUCUAUAUAAAGUUUCGCCAGUUUCUCAAUAGAAUACGUGCUAUGGAUAGCCAAGAAAUGGGGGAACUUAUUCAAUCUAUCCACAAUCACCCAAAUAGCAUCUUUCCCACUCUGUGUCCGUGGCAAACGCAAUACAAAGUCCAUAGUCACAUAUUCCCACUUCCAUUCAGGAAUCGGUAAAGGCUGAAGAGUACCUGAUGGUUUUUUAUGCUUCGCCUUGAUCUGUUGGCAUGUGAGACAUUUGGCUAUAAACUUUGCUAUGUCUCGUUUCAUACCCGACCACCAAUAACUUUUUUUAAUAGUUUGAUACAUCUUGGUGCUUUCGGGAUCUAAAGCAUAAGCGGAAGAAUGAACUUCCUCCAAAAUAACUCGUCUUAACUAAUCAUCCUUAGAGACACAAAUUCGGUCUCUAAGCAUCAAAGUACCAUCAUCACUGAGUCUAAACUCACUAGUUUCUCCAUCUUACAGCUUUUGAACUUUCUGUUUCAACCAAUCAUCAGAUUUCUACAAUUCUCUGAUUUGAUUCAACAAUGAAGGUCUCACAACGAAACUAGCAAGUAGGGUUCCAUUCUCACCAUUAUUCAACUGGACCCCUAGAGACUUCAUCUCAAGUAACAUCAAAAAAUAAGAACUCUGAAGCGUUGCUAACGACGAUGAGGAUUUACGACUUAAGGCAUCUGCUACAACAUUUGCCUUUCUAGGGUGAUAAUCGAUCACUAAGUUGUAAUCCUUGAUCAACUCUAGCCACCGUCUUUGUCUCAAAUUAAGUUCUUUUUGGGUGAGCAAAUAUUUCAAACUUUUAUGAUCAGUAAAAAUUCGACAACGCUCACCAUAUAAAUAAUGCCUCCAAAUCUUCAAUGCAAAGACUACUGUUGCUAAAUCCAAAUCAUGGGUAAGGUAAUUCGUCUCAUACUUCUUCAACUGUCGGGAAGCAUAAGCUAUUACUUUUUCAUCCUGCAUCAAUACGCACCCUAAUCCCAACUUAGAGGCAUCACUGUAUACCACAAAUUUUUCCCACCAACCGAAAGUGUCAGAACGGGAGCGGAGGUUAACCGGUUCUUUAGCUCCUGAAAUUGACUCUCAUAAACAUCAUCCCACUCAAACUUAACUCCUUUACAAGUUAGACGAGUCAAAGGAGCAGCUAUCAAUGAAAAUCCUUGAACAAAUCUUCGAUAAUAAUCGGCUAAGCCAAGGAAAAUGCGAAUCUCAGUUACCGUUCUCGGUUGCUCCCAUUGUAAGAUUGCCUCAAUCUUCUUGGGAUCGACAUAAAUUUCAGCACCGGACACCACAUGUCCCAAGAAAACCACUUCCUUUAACCAGAACUCACAUUUAGAUAAUUUGGCAUAGAGUUGUUUUUCACACAAGGUUUGCAACACAAUACGCAAAUGGGCAGAAUGUUCAUCAUCAUUUUUCGAAUAAACCAGGAUGUCAUCUAUGAAUACUAUCACGAACUUAUCCAAGUAUGGAUGGAACACCUUAUUCAUAAGAUCCAUAAAAGCUGCCAGGGCAUUAGUCAAACUAAACGGCAUCAUCAGAAACUCAUAAUGCCCAUAACGCAUCCUAAAAGCAGUCUUGGGUACAUCCUGCUCUUUAAUCUUCAACUGAUAAUACCCAGACCUCAAAUCAAUCUUAGAAAACACCAUAGCACCUCGCAAUUGAUUAAAAAGAUCAUCGAUCCGGGGUAAAAGGUAUUUAUUCUUGAUGGUCACUCGGUUCAGCUGACUGUAAUUGAUACACAAUCGAAGAGUGACAUCCUUCUUCUUUACAAAUAGGACUGGUGCUCCCCAAGGAGAAGUGUUAAGGCCAAUAAAAUCCUUAUCCACCAAAUCUUGCAGCUGGACUUUUAGUUCCUUUAACUCUGCCGGAGCCAUACUAUAUGAAGGGAUAGAAAUAGGUGCAGUACCCGAAAGUAAUUCAAUAGGGAACUCAAGCUCUCGCUCAGGAGGUAGUCUUGAUAAUUCGUCAGAAAAUACAUCAGGAAACUCACUUACUAUUGGGACAUCCUUUAAUUUAGGUUCCCCUUUUGAAAUAUUGAUCACAUGUGCUAAAUAUGCUGGAUACCCUUUCUGCACCAGUUUCAAAGUUUUGAUGGCCGAGAUUACACAGGACGGUAAUACUCGACGUUUCCUUGCAAAUACAAUCUCUGCUCCCUUCGAAUUUCGAAGAACAACUUCUUUCUUGAAACAAUCCACAUUCACCCGAUGUGCAGUUAACCAGUCCAUACCCAAUAUCAAAUCGAAAUCUUGGAUCUCUAGAGGAAUCAAGUCACCCUUAAGUUCUUCCUCACUAACCAUAACUCCACAAUAUCUAUAACAACUGUUUUUAACUAGCUUUUCUCCUAAAGGGGUGUGAACUACAAUUUUUUCCUCUAAUGGUGACAGGUCUCUAUCAACAAUUGAUGCAAAUGACAUACUCACAUAAGACUUAUCUGAGCCAGAAUCUAUCAAAACAUAAGCAUCUUUAUUAAAUAAAGCCAUAGUACCUGUCACUACUCCAAGUCAAACCCGUGCCUCAUCUUCCGUCACCGCAAAAACUCUUGUCGAAGUAUGAGUCUGUGGUCUCGAAGGUGGAUAUGCCGGGGUGUUACUCUCUACACCAAACUGUAUAGCUACUCCCUCCCUUGGUGGUAACCUAGAAGGAUUUCUCCUCUACAUAUCUAUACGAGCUGGUGGAGAUGAAGCAGUUGCAGUAGCCUAUCUUAGCUGUGGAAAAUCACUCCUAAUGUGGCCCGGCUAACCACAAUGAAAACAUCGUAUUGGUCCCCUACACGGCCCAAAAUGAUUCUUCCCACAUUUUCGGCAUCUAUUAGAACCUCUGGAACUCUUCUUAGAAGUAGUCAUUGUAGAUUUGCUAAAUCUCGGAGGCCUCUGCUAUGUCUGUGAAAAUGAAGGUCGAGGAGAUGUCACUGAAAUAGAGGUAGUACUCCCUGAAACAGAUGAGUCUUUGCCCCUUUUUAGUGGCUGACUAAAAGAUACACUCGGGCUUCUCCUUUUUGCAAACUCAGCUUGCAUUUUCUUAUUUGCAUUUGCAAGCUUCUCGGCCUUUAAAGCCAUAUGUACCACCUCCUUAUGUGGCUCCCUAUCAGUCAUUGUCAUCCGCUCUCUAAUCUCAUUACGGAGCCCUUCCUCAAAAUAACUGGCCCGAUCCUGCUCAGAUUUCACCAGAUCCGGCACAUAUAACAUCAGUUCAUUAAAAUGAGCUUCGUACUCCUCUACAGUUAAAUUCCCCUAUUUCAAACGUAGAAAUUCUCUCUUCUUUUCUUUCUGAUGGAAAUAAGUGAAAUACUAACCAUCAAAUUCUCUUAGAAAGUUUGACCAAAUCGGAGGAGUAGUGGAAUGAGAUUUUACUGAAUUUUACCAUGUACAGGCUCUCUUCUCCAAUAAUCUCGUGGCCACUAUCUACUUCAUGUAAUCAUCCAACCUCAUAUCCGAAAGUUUCUCCAAAACCUGAUUAAUCCAAUCUUUGGCUACGGUUACGUCCAACUCACCCGUAAAAGAAACGUAACCCAGUUUUCUAGCCUCCUUCAGCUUCUUAGAAAUAGAUACAUCCUGUACUAGCGGUGGAACUGGAGGUGGGGGUGGUGGUACUGUAGGAGCAACUGGUGGUACUAUAGGAGGAGCCUGACCAGCUUGAGCUUGGCCAGCAAUAGUAGUAAAGAAGGCUACCAAUGCCUGGACUGCCUCAGGAGACAUGGCAGGAGUACCAGUAGGUGGUGGAGGAUGUGGAGGAGUUUCGGCUUGCUCAACACCAAGUGUUGCCGGAAUGGUGGACGCAGUCGAUUCCUCAUUUACUACAUCUAGCUGACGAUGUUGGGAACGACCUCUUCCCCUCCCAGUCGAUCUAAUGAGAGGUGGGUGUUCCCGUCGAGGAGGCAUAAUAAUCUAUAAGAGGAAACAAGUAAGUUUAGGCAACCUUAAGCUCUAUAUGUAGAUGCAUGUAUUCUAUUCGACCUAUCCUAAUUUAACUUGGGGCCACAUUGACACUGUAAAUUUUUAAAACAACUUUAAAACCAAAAGCUCUGAUACCACUUUACUUGUCAAGACUCGGUACUCCCUUAGAGCCCGUGAUAACCAUCGCGGUGUCCCGAUAGACACGAAUUACCGGGAAUACCAACCAGAACCUCGCAAGGCUUUAAUAUCAGUUUCUCAUUUUCCUUGUGAGUAACCGUUGCCAAAUAUCAUGUUCUAAAGGAUUUUAAGCUAUUUCCAACUUAAAACAAUAAAAAAUUGAUUUCUGUCUCACAGGGGCAUUUUAGUCAUUUUCCAUAAAAAUUUCGAAACUAGGUAAAAAUGUAGUACACGAGUACAAAACACAUAAUUCAUAUAAAAAAUAAGUUUAAACUUCUAAAACCUUCAUUUAAAAUGAAAUUAUGAUUAUUUGGAUAUAAUAAUAAAAAAUAAAAAAAAUAAAAAUAUUUAAUAAAAUAUUCUAUUUCUUAUAAAACAAUAUUUUUAGAGUUAUAUGUAAGUAAUUUUUGUAGCGUAAAAGCAAAAUAAAUUCAUACAUAUUGUAAUAAAGUAAGCUAGGGUAUUUAAUUUAAUUUACAAUAACAAGUGGGCCCCCGGAUAAUCAAAAGUAAGAAAGACUGUGAACCUACAGUUUGGAGGAUGCAAAUCCAAUGGUAGCUUUCGAUGAAAUCAGCUAUCUACAGCCUAUUUUGAGCUUGAAAUGGGUGGAAAGGAGGGUGGUGAGAUUAUAUAAUCCCAGUGAGUAAACAAACAUCAUCCAAAAUAUCUAAAGUCGAGUAAAUAGAGACGAUUAAAAUAUUCCAUCUCAAUAUGUAUUUCAUAACAUAAAUAUUCAUUUCAUUUAAAUAAUCAAUAUGGCUUAUGAGUAUCUUAAAAGCUUGGCUCCUGCCAAAAUCAUUCUCGAGAAUACCUUGGUCGAGGCAUUUAACCGAGUCUGCCAAGGCUGUUAAAAAGUUUCGUAUACACAUAAACAUAUUUUUAGUUUGAAAAACACAACCGUUCCUUGGCGUUAGCAGAGUUCAUCAUCACGAGGUAGUUCAGCGUGACGUAAACUCUAACCAUACCUCAGGAGAUACCCUACGCGCCUCUCCGACCGAGGUACAUAUAUAACCGGAUUUCGUGCCCCUCUAAUAGGUUGGUCCACAGAACCCGCCCACUGCAGCAAGCUAAACCCACCAUACAAUAAAAAUUCAACAGCAUGACAUGGCAAUUUUAUCAUUAUCUAGCUUAUCAAGGCAAACAAUAAUUUAUACAUUUUCAACACAAAUACCAAUUCAGCCAUUCAUGCCAAUAUUGCCAUAAGCCAAUCAAUUAGAACCAUAAAUUCGCAAUACAUCAAAUGGUCUCCAAUUACUCUAUUUUCAAAGCCAUCAUUCAAUUUCAAAACAAUUUAUAAAAUCAUUUCAUUUAAACACAUUUUGUUUAUAAAACCUAAAAAUUAACCAUUUAGACUCAUUUUCCAUAAAAUUCACAAAAUCGGAUAAAAACUACUUUAGAUAAUUAAGAUGAUAGUAAGGUUACUCACUAUUUCGGGAUUCAAAUUUUUAGAGUACUCCGACUAUCGAUCCUCGGGUACAAUUUUUUUGCCCUUAUCGGAGGAUUCACCACCUAAACAUAAUGCAAAAUCAAGCAAUUUACCACAUUGGUGCUAAACCGUUAUAAAACUAUAUGGAUGCAUGAAAUGGAAUGCAAAUUGUUCGGAUUAUCGUCUAAACACAGUGUUCUACACAAAUUCAAUUGUGUAUCUAAAUAAAAUGGUAUUGGCCUAAUUCGAUCUAUCACCCGAUUAAUUGACGAAUAUGUCCAAUUCAACUCCAAUUAACUCCAUUUUUCUUUCAAUUCUCGAAAUUAUCAAACACAAGUCAAAUAGCAUAAAAUUUAGCAAAAAUUAUCUUCACAUUUUCUUUUGGGAAUUUCGGCCAUGGUGGGUGCAUCAACACUAUGAUUUUUCCUACUCGAUUUUCUCAUCGUAAUUCAUCAUUUCCUAACCAAUUCACUUGAAAUAAAAUCAAAUCCACCAUCCACACUCUACAUGGAAAAUUCGACCAAUGAUGGGCAAUGGAAGAACAUGAAUUUUUCUUACUUGAUUUUCAUGCUACACAUCACUAACUAACUAAAAUCACCAAAAUAUCUUAAAAUCUAACCAAAUCAAGCAUCAAAACUCCUCCUCCCAUGUCCGGCCAGCAAGGGUACCCUCAUGCCAACCUGAUUCUCAUCCAUGGAAAAUGAAAAAGAAUGCAUAGGAAAGGUAAAUCACAAGAUAGAAUUGAAAAAUCUUACCUUUUGUCACUUGAUUCUUUGAAUUUUCGCACUUUUCCCUUGAAUUUUUCCACAUAGGGUUUGGUUCUUUCUUUUCUUCCUUUGUUCUUGCUUUGGCCGGCCAUAUGAAGAGAAAUGGACUGAUUUAUGUGCUGAUUUUUAAGCCAAAUAUUUAAUGGAUGAAAAUUUAACACAUGUCACCAUUCCAUUGGUCCAUGUGUCAUACUUACCCAUUAAGUAAUCUCUCUCCACCACUUAAAUUUUCUCAAUUAUCCAUGAUAAUAUUGGGUAAAAUCCAUGUGCUGGACAUGUGUUGGGUGGUGUAAAAUUAGAAUUUUGCCCCUAGGGUGGCAAAAUGACUAUUAUACCUCUAUGCUCGAAAAAAUGUCAAAAUUAAAAUUUUUCACUUCUCAAACUCAAAUUAUACACCAAAUGAUCAAUCUUAGUCAAAAAUUUCAUCCAACACUCACAUCUUAACCUUGGGUAACAAAAUGACUAUUUUACCCCUAGGUCAUGAAAAUUCCAAUUUGACUCCAAAUCGGUCCUCGAACUCCGAAUCACCAUUUUAAGUCAUUCUGGGGUUUCAAAAUUCCUAAUUUCAUCAUAAAAUCUCUAUUUAGACUAGCUCGAGGCUUAAUUCAACUUAGUUGCACCACUAGGUACACUACCGACUUUCGACGAUUUUUCGGGGCUUUCUAAGUAUGCAAGUGUUCUGUCAAUCACAUGAAUGACAUGGCUAAUAUUUUAUAAGGUCGGGCUUGACAAUUUCCACUUGAUUUUCACUGCAGCAAAAACAAAUUUCCAUUAUGACAAGAAAUUGAGUUAAAUUGCAUUGUCUUCAACAUAAAUGCAUCAUGAUUUCUAAAACUUCCCGUAUUGAUGCUUGUUCCCUUCCUAUGUUCACUCAUUGAGUUUGUACUCAUGUUUUUAAAAUUCAUGUUUUAGGUUUCCUGAGUCAUAGGUGAUUGGAUAUUAGAACGAGGUGUUCCUCCCUAUCCAUUGCUCGGUAGGUUUACCAUGACAUUAAAUGUUAACAACCGUGCCCAGAGUCAUUACGCUGACGGUCAAGGUCUAAUUAUGUGUAUAUGAAUAUUUAAUGUGAAAUAUUAAAAAUCAUUUGUUAAUCUAUUUAUGAAUAUAUUGGUGGAUGAUGCCAUUAUGAAUGUAUGAUUUGGUUUUAUGAAUCGUUUUUAAAGAAACGGUAUUUGAACAUUUCAAGCUUUGGAUUCUAAAGGAGUAGGGAUUAAUGUAUAAGAUCAAUUAAGUAGGCUUGCUUAGGCUUAGUGGGCUGAGCCCAUUGGGCCCUUGCGUCGGUCAUGGCUCGAAAAUUUGGCUGUGAUAGAAUCAAUUAUACUGAUAGACUGUACACUGAAAGGUUAUCAAAGAACCCUUUGACUCUCAUAACAAUGGGUGGCCAUGAUGCAUUGCUAGACGCCAAUCUUGGUCUAUGGAAUUGAAUAUAAAUUAAUUGAUUGAAAUUUAUAUUAAUAAAUUAAGUCAUUAAUAAAUUCCAUUAUCAACAUGUUAGGAACCUAAUGGGUCACACACAAUGAUUGCAUUUGAAUUAAAUUAGGAGAUUGAUGAUUUAAGUUAGACUUAAAUCACAUGCUAGAUAAUUUAACUUUUAUAAACUUAAUUAACAGAGUUUAAUUAAGUUUUAAGCAUAAUUAUAAAUAGUUAUAAUUAUAAGGCCUUGAUUGCAAAAUAUAAAGAAAAUUAAUUUUGAUUUUAAUUUUCAAUGACUUAAUUAAAAAAGUUUAAUUAAGUAUUGGGUCCAAUAUUAUAAUGUGUUAUAAUAUUGAGGGCUUAAUUGCAAAAUUGAAGUUAUUUUAACCUAACUAUAUAAGUUACCUUUUAACUAUUUUCCAUAUGAGCGUUUUUCACAAUUGAAGAAAACCUAGUUUUUGUUAGAAUAAGAUAAGUGUUUUCUCUCUUUGCCAUUACUCUCUUUGUGUGAAAGAGAAAAUUGAUUAUGAAGCAAUUUUCAAGAGAGGUUUGACUAAGAUUGUGAAAAAAGGACAAUUUUUGCUAUCUUUACUAGCACAAAGUAUAGUUAAAAAUUCCCUUCUUUGAUGAAGGUUCGGGUAAAAUUGUUUGUACUACCAUUGGAGGCCAAGCACUUGAUUGGCUAGAAUUUUUGCUCCUUGUGGUGUUUGCGGAAUUGCUUAAAGAAGUGCCAUUGUGAUUACGAAGUUACUUGGCAAGGUAACUUUUUGAAUAAUAAUUAUUUUGUGUUUUUAUGUGUUUAAUAUCACCGAGGUGAUCUAUGGGUGGAGGCAUGUUUUGAUUGUUUAGUUAUAAAGUUUUAAUUUUCUUUUUGCUGCAUAUUUUAAGCAUGCCAUCCAUAGCCAAACCUAUCAAACCAAUGAGGAGAAACCAAGAUGAACUUAAGCAUAAACAACUGUGCAAUGCAUAAGUAAUUCCGUAACAAAAUGACAACCAAAAUUUGGUCAAGAAAAACCAUGUAAUAGGAAUAAAAAUAUCCUAAAGAAAUGAACAAUAAGAAGUCAACAACUAUGCAAUGAUGAGCAUGAGUAAAAUGCAGCCAGCUGAUCCAAUAAGGUAUAGAGAGGAAAGAAAGUGGCUAAUGUCCCAUGGGAAGAUCUCAAGCGGGUGGUGAAAACUGAGCAUGGAACUUGGUGAAUUGCUCCUCAAGAUGCUGCUGUUGAUAAAGGAGCUCUCGGUUCUAAGCCUUUAAGGUGCCCAACCUAUGAAUGAUACGAGCAUCCAUAGAUUCCAUGAAAAGAUAAUAAUCGAGAAUAGGCUUGCUCAUUAUCAAAGGCAAUGGACAUAGGAGGGUGACUGGGACCAACACUAGGAUAAGGACUUGGACUGGUACAGCAUUAGGUGCGACACUAGGUUCAAGAAAGGUAUUCGCAUGAUCCUCAUUGUCAGCAAACUCAAGAUCAUUGACGGUUUCUAUUCGGACUUAAGAGUUGUUAACAUAGACAAAACCAAGCUUGUUGAUGGCAUGCUCAUUGAUCUUCAUGUGCAUCACAUGCUGCUUAGGUGGAUCACACCUAGUGUUGAUGCCCAUGGAGUCAAUGAUAGCAUUGAUGGCCAUGCCAUACAGAAGAGUUUUGCAAGAUUUGGUAAUGAUCUUGAGCAUCUCAUCAAGAAUAAACUUGGCAAUGUUGACACGUUAGUUGCGUUUGAUGCGGUACAAAAACCAAAAAUCAUCACUCUUGAUUGUAGAGUAAUUUGUGUCGUGAGGGUGAAGAGUGAGUGAGAUGAUAAAGUGGAGGAUGCGAUCAUAAAACGAUAGAUGGUUGACACUAGUCACAUUUUUUUCACUCGUGGGAGGAUAAGUGUAGAUAGUGGACAAUGCUUCCUAUGACAUUACACCCUCAACAUAAUUUAAAUCACCCUGACGAAUCUCUAAGUCAAGGAUAGAGUCGAGUGUGUGUUGUGCAGCCAUAAUUCACUUACCCAUAACAUAAGUGUAAAAUCUAUCAGUGUGCUUUAUGGGUUCACUAUCCUCAUAAUCUUGAAAUUUUAUGGUGGUAGUGAAAUAAAAGACGCGGACAAGGUCAGCAUAAUAAGUAUGGUUCAUGGAUUGAUAAUUGAGCUAGUUUAAUUGUCAAAAAUUAUCAAUAUAUGGAAAAUUGAUGCUAGCAAGGUAGUUAAAAUCAAUUACCCAUCUAGACUUGACGUUUUGUUUGGUAAAGUCUUUGUCGAACUGUCACUCCAAUGAGGGAUAAGAGAAAUUGUAUUUGAAUGAGCAGUCAUCGGAGUGAGGGACCGACGGUGGUGGUGGUUGGUCAAAUGGAAAAGCCACGAAAGUGAAAGUCCAAGUGCGGUUAGCGGUUGCUUUUAUGCACUUUGGAUGAGAAGCCAUUAGAGAAGGAACGAUGAAGAGAUGAACUGGAGGAAGGUGUUGAGGGGGGUGUGAGAAUUGAUUUAAACGAAGCACUUUGGUGGAAAAAGGCAACCAAUUUCACGAAUUAGAGGUUGGGAGGAAGGUAGGGUUUUGGGGUUUUUAAAUGUGAGAAAUUUUUAAGUUUAGAGAAAGUGAGAUGAAAUUCAGAAAAGAAGGAUUGUUGGAGCAAGGGAAGAAGGUAAGAAAGGGUGUAUUUAGUGCAGAUUUGAGUAAGAAGUCAAAGGUGACGAAUGGGGGGGAAAGAAUUUGGAAAGGAGAAGUCGAAGAUUGUGGUGAAAAUUAGUCGUAAUGCGCUAAAAACCCCAUAAUUUAUCCAUACAUUCGAAAUAGAAUGCUUUAAUUUUGACUACUGGACGAAACGUGUCGAUAUAUUUUAUAGGUAUUGAUACAUGUUCGUGAAAGUAUCGAUACAUAGGCGAAUGUAUCAAUAAAAUUAGUAUGGGAUUUUAAUGAUGGCUACUAGACAAAAUGUAUCGAUAUAACAAGAAAAUGUAUCGAUACAUUGGGUCAUGUAUCAAUACAUGAACCUUUGUAGCUAUGAACAAGAUACUUUUGACUCCAAAACUUAGUGAGUUGGUCCAAACAUUUGAGUUAAACAAACUAGUGUGAGUUAUUAAGUUUAAAAAUACCGUUGAAAACAAGUCUGGAACUUGUUCAGGUGAAAGAUCAAGAAUUUGAAAGAAAAAUGUUGGUUCACUCAUCAACUCUCCAAUAAGCCUUAAGAAUCAUAUGGCCAUGAUAUGAAUGCAUGGAUAUGUCCUGAAUAAGUAGGUUCAUCAAUACCAAGAGGCAUGCAAUCACUUUGCAAGAAGUCAUUUUAAAUAGGAAUUCAACCAAUUAGGAUAUUAAGAACGAAUAUAGUCAUAAUUACAGCCAAUCAUCUAGGUACCUACAAGUCAUUUUUUUAUAUAUAGGAUUUAUCAAACCUAGUUCAUUUCUAAUCUUUUAGAAAUGUUCUCUAUCAAGUGCUUUUGUAAAGAUAUCAGCUAAUUAUCUUUUGUACCUUUAUACCCAAGCACAACAUCUCCUUUUUGAACAUGAUCUCUAAUGAAGUGAUGUCUUAUUUCAAUAUGUUUAGUUCUAGAAUGAUGGAUGGGAUUCCUUGUGAGAUUUAUGGCACUAGUGUUAUCACAUUUUAUGGGAAUUUUGUUCAUAACUAGUCCAUAAUCUUCUAAUUGUUGUUUCAUCCAUAACACUUGAGCAUAACAACUUCCGAUAGCCCACAUAUUCUAUUUCUUUAAGAACCAAGAGAUCAACAUACUACAUAGGAGUUAACAUGUACCGGAUGUGCUCUUUCUAUCUAUCUUACAUCCACCAAAAUCGGCAUCCGAGUAUGAAUGAAGAUCGAAGGUGGAACUUCUGGAUUCCAUAUUCCUAAAUUAGAUGUCUCUUUCAAGUAUCUGAAAAUUCUUUUUACAACACUCAAGUGUGGUUCUUUAGGAGAUGAUUGAAAUCUAGCACGUAGACCUACACUAAAACUUAUAUCUGGUCUACUAGCAGUGAGAUAAAGCAAAGAACCAAUCAUGGAUCUAUAGAGCUUUUGGUCAACGGACGUACCUUUUUCAUCCUUGUCAAGCAUGAUUGAAGUGCUCAUUAGUAUGUGAUAUGUCCUUGAGCUGUCCAUACUAAACCUCUUAAACAUAUCUUUUGUAUAUUUCGCUUGACUUAUGAAGGUAACCUCUUCUUUUUGUUUGAUUUGUAAUCCAAGAAAGUAGUUCAGUUCACCCAUCAUGCUCAUCUCAAAAUUUCCUUGCAUUAUUUUAGCAAACUUUUGACAAAAAACCUUAUUAGUAGCACCAAAAAUUAUAUCAUCAGCAUAAACUUGCACAAUUAAAAUGUCUUUGCCUUUGUUUUUGAUGAAUAGAGUUUUAUCAACUUUUUCUAUAUUAAACUUAUUUUUGAUUAAGAAUUUUGAUAAGGUUUCAUACCAAGCUCUAAGAGCUUGUUUUAAUCCAUAUAAGGCUUUUCUUUAUCUAAAGACAUGAUUUGGAAAGGUUGGACUAUCAAAACAGGGUGGUUGUUCAACAUAUGCUUCCUUAUUAAUCAAUCCAUUUAAAAAGGCACUUUUAACAUCCAUUGGAUAAAGUUUAAAGUUCAUAUAGCAUGCAAAGGCUAAUAACAAUCUAAUUGCUUCUAAUCUAGCUACCAGAGCAUAUGUUUCAUCAUAAUCUAUGCCUUCUUCUUGACUAUAUCUUUUGGCAACCAACCUAACUUAUUUUCUAGUUAUGAUUCCAUUUUCAUCCAUUUGUUUCUUAAAAGCCAUUUUGUACCUACAAUUGGGUAAUCAUUGGGCUUAGAAACUAGUUCCCAUACUUGACAUCUUUCAAAUUGGUUCAAUUCUUCUUGUAUGGCUAAUAUCCAAUAAUCAUCAAUUAAAGCUUCAACAAUGUUUUUGGGUUCAAUUUGUGAGAUAAAAGGAACAUAUUCACAAAUAUUUUGAACUCUAGACCUAGUUCUUACCCCUUGAUUAGGAUCACCAAUGAUUUUGCUUUCAUUAACUUCUAUUCUUACCAUUGGAUAACUAGCCUCACCUUAUUCAAUUAUUAGUUCAAUGCUUUGUUCUUCCUUUUGUGGUACCUCUUCAUUUACCUUGGAUCCUUCAAUGUUGAGAUUAAGCCCUUCGACUUGUUCUUGAAGAAUGCCUACAUUGUCAUCAUAGUGUUCCUUUCUAAAAAGAGGAUUAGAAUCAUCAAAUAACACAUGAAUGGAUUCCUCAAUAACUAAUGUUCUUUUGUUGAAUACUCUAUAUGCUUUAGAGGUUAAGGAAUAUCCUAGAAAGAUUCCUUCAUCACUUUAACAUCAAAUUUACCUAGAUUUUCCUUUCCAUUGUUUAGGACAUAGUAUUUGCAACAAAAUGGAUGAAAGUAAUUUAUGUUGGGUUUCUUUCCUUUGUAAAGGUCAUAAGGAGUUUUUUUCAAAAUUGGUUUAACCAUGGCUCUAUUUAUGAUGUAGCAAGAUGUAUUUAUAGCUUUUGCCCAAAAGUAUCUAGGUAGGUUAUUCUCACAUAGCAUGGUUCUAGCCGUUUCUUUUAAAGUUCUAUUUUUUCUUUCCAUUACUCCAUUUGUUGUGGUGUUCUAGGAGCUGAAAAAUUGUGAUAAUAUCCAUUUUCAUCAAAAAGUUGUUCAAAGCCUAGAUUUUCAAAUUUUUUCCCAUGAUCACUUCUAACAUUUGUUAUUUUGUAUCCUUUUUCAUUUUCAACCCUUUCGCAAAAAAAGGUAAAUAUUUUCAAAGCUUCAUCUUUGUGUGUAAGAAAGAAAACCCAAAAGAAUCUAGUACAGUCAUCCACAACUACUAGGCCAUAGUUCUUUCCACCAAAGCUAGUGGUCCUAAUUGGUACAAAAAGAUCUAUGUGAAGUAAUUGCAGUGCUCUAAUGGUAGUUACAACCUUUUUAGAUUUAAAUGAGUUUCUCCUAUGUUUGCCUUUAGCAUAAUCAUCACGAAGUUGAUUAUUUUCAAAACUUAGCUUGGGAAGUCCUAUCAUAAGAUUUAGAGACAAUAAUUUUGAAAUUGUAUUCAUGCUACCAUGUCCUAAUUUUCUAUGCCACAACCAACUAUCCUUAUUCUUUUUAGACAUGAAACACACAUUAUUAGAAGAUAAAUCCAAGAAAACAACAUAUGUGUUGCCUUGUCUAUUUCCAACAAAUAAAGUUUCAUUUGUUUUGAUAUCAACAACAUGACACAUUAAAGAUUCAAAAAUGACUCUAAGACCCUUAUCACAAAGUUGACUUAUGCUCAACAUAUUAUAUUUAAGACCACCUACAAAUAGAACAUUUUUGAUAUGAGAGGUAGCAUUUUUACCAAUUGUGCCAAUACCUUCUAUGUGACAUUUUAAGUUGUCAUUAAAGGUUACAUUUCCUCCUUUCUUUGGCCUUAAUUCCUUGAAGAAUUCCUUGGUUCUGGUCAUGUGUCUAAAGCACCCAUUAUCAAGAUACCACUUUUUUUUUCUUGUGUUCUUGAUUUCAAGCAAGCAAGCUUCUCCUAUAAAAGCAAAAUCAAACAUUGGACUUUGGUACUUAAUUUUUCUUGGGUGCAUAUAUGUUAGUGCCCUUGGUUCCUUUUGGAACCCACUUCAAUAUCAUUAUCUUACCAUGUGAAGGUUUUGUUCCUAUUGGAACCCACACACUUUUGACUUCCUUACCUCUAAAAGUAGUAGCUCUCAAAGGACAAGUGUAAGUGGAGUGUCCUACUUUAUGACAAUAAAUGCAUUUGAUAAAGGAUCCAACUUUUACAUUUUCUUUAACAAAGAAACUUUUAAAACGUGUUUCCUUUUGAGUUCCAUCAUAGCCUAUUCCUUUUUUGUCAAAGAAUCCUUUUUGUGUUUCUAGCAUAUCAUUUUAAUUUUUGUUGACUUGUAUUAAACUUUAAUAAUGUAGCAUGUAAAUUUUCAUUUUUCCUCUUUAACUCAUUUUUCUCAAUUUCCAAGUCUUUGACUAUGGUUUCUAGUUCUAUUUUUGCUUUGACUAAAAACUCAUUUUCUGCUUUAAGCUUGGAUGUAAUGUUCUUGUAUUUCAAUAUUUUUUCUUCAAAUUCAAAUACUAAGUCAUCAUAUGCAUGUUGUAAUUCAUCAAAUGUGUAUGAUUCUUGAUCUAAGGAGUUGAAUUUGAAUUAUGAGAAGUGAAG
rnacentral:lncRNA from 1 species